AGCGGCGAACGGUCGCGUAACACGUAAGCAACCUGCCCGAAAGACCGGGAUAACGUUUCGAAAGAGGCGCUAAUACCGGAUGUGACCACUGGGAGACAUCUUCUGGUGAUUAAAUCAUUUAUGGCUUUCGGAGGGGCUUGCGGCCUAUCAGCUAGAUGGCGGGGUAACGGCUCACCAUGGCGUCGACGGGUAGCUGGUCUGAGAGGAUGGUCAGCCGGACUGGGACUGAGAUACGGCCCAGACUCCUACGGGGGGCAGCAAUUAGGAAUCUUGCGCAAUGGGCGAAAGCCUGACGCAGCGACGCCGCGUGGAGGAGGAAGGCCUUCGGGUUGUAAACUCCUUUUAGGUGGGAAGAAACAAAUGACGGUACCACCAGAAUAAGCCCCGGCUAACUCCGUGCCAGCAGCCGCGGUAAUACGGAGGGGGCGAGCGUUGUCCGAAGUUACUGGGCGUAAAGCGCGCGUAGGUGGGUUGGCAAGUCCGCUGUGAAAGCCCGGGGCUUAACUCCGGAGGGUCGGUGGAUACUGCCAGUCUUGAAGGUGCUAGGGGGAGAUGGAAUUACCGGUGUAGCGGUGAAAUGCGUAGAUAUCGGUAGGAACACCAGUGGCGAAGGCGGUCUCCUGGGGCAUUCUUGACGCUGAUGCGCGAAAGCUGGGGGAGCGAACGGGAUUAGAUACCCCGGUAGUCCCAGCCCUAAACGAUGGAUACUAUGUGUCAGGGGUAUCGACCCCCCUGGUGCCGCAGCUAACGCAGUAAGUAUCCCGCCUGGGGAGUACGGCCGCA
rnacentral:rRNA from 1 species